rnacentral:rRNA from 1 species
GUAGGUGGCAAGCGUUGUCCGGAAUUAUUGGGCGUAAAGCGCGCGCAGGCGGUCCUUUAAGUCUGAUGUGAAAGCCCACGGCUCAACCGUGGAGGGUCAUUGGAAACUGGGGGACUUGAGUACAGAAGAGGAAAGCGGAAUUCCAAGUGUAGCGGUGAAAUGCGUAGAGAUUUGGAGGAACACCAGUGGCGAAGGCGGCUUUCUGGUCUGUAACUGACGCUGAGGCGCGAAAGCGUGGGGAGCAGACAGGGAUUAGAUACCCUGGUAGUCCACGCCGUAAACGAUGAGUGCUAAGUGUUAGGGGGUUUCCGCCCCCUUAGUGCUGCAGCUAACGCAUUAAGCACUCCGCCUGGGGAGUACGGCCGCAAGGCUG